rnacentral:rRNA from 1 species
UACGUAGGGACCAAGCGUUGUCCGGAAUCAUUGGGCGUAAAGAGCGUGUAGGCGGCUUGUUAAGUCUUGCGUGAAAUCUCGGGGCUCAACCCCGAGCGGUCGUGAGAAACUGGCAGGCUAGAGUGCGGGAGAGGAGAGUGGAAUUCCUGGUGUAGCGGUGAAAUGCGCAGAUAUCAGGAAGAACACCCGUGGCGAAGGCGGCUCUCUGGAACGCAACUGACGCUGAGACGCGAAAGCGUGGGGAGCAAACGGG